rnacentral:rRNA from 1 species
GUUGAAACACUGGUUCCAGUAUGAUCACUGAAUUUAAGCAAUGUUAAGCCUGGCCAGUACCUAGAUGAGUGACUGCUUGGGAAUACCAGGUGCUGUG